CGCGGGGUAGAGCAGUCCGGUAGCUCGUCAGGCUCAUAACCUGAAGGUCGUAGGUUCAAAUCCUACCCCCGCAAC
rnacentral:tRNA from 1 species